GAUGAAGAACGCAGCGAAAUGCGAUAAGUAAUGUGAAUUGCAGAAUUCAGUGAAUCAUCGAAUCUUUGAACGCACAUUGCGCCCCUUGGUAUUCCGAGGGGCAUGCCUGUUCGAGCGUCAUUAUAACCCCUCAAGCUCAGCUUGGUGUUGGGGCCUGCUGCACUGGCAGCCCUUAAAAUCAGUGGCGGCGCCAUCUGGCUCUAAGCGUAGUAAUUCUUCUCGCUAUGGAGUCCUGGUGGAUGCUUGCCAUCAACCCCCAAUUUUUCUAUGGUUGACCUCGGAUCAGGUAGGGAUACCCGCUGAACUUAAGCAAUCAAUAAGCGGAGGA
rnacentral:misc_RNA from 1 species